CACGUAGGGGGCAAGCGUUGUCCGGAUUUAUUGGGCGUAAAGAGCUCGUAGGUGGUUCGGUAAGUCGGGUGUGAAACCUCCAGGCUCAACCUGGAGACGCCACCCGAUACUGCUGUGACUGGAGUCCGGUAGGGGAGCGUGGAAUUCCUGGUGUAGCGGUGAAAUGCGCAGAUAUCAGGAAGAACACCCGUGGCUAAGGCGGCUCUCUAGUACGGUACUGACGCUGAGACGCGAAAGCGUGGGGAGCGAACAGG
rnacentral:rRNA from 1 species